UCUGGCACUUAUGAUUCCUCUGGCACUUUCGGGUUUACUCUGGUGUGUAUUUUAGCUCUGCUCUGGUACACUAAUUCUGCUCUGGAGAUUUCGGCUCUGCUCUGGAGAUUUCGGCUUUGGCAGUGCAUUUCUCUGCUCUGGAGACAGAGCUAUGCUAAAAAUGCCAUUCUUAGCCAAAAUUCUCCAAAAUUGUAUUCUUCCAUCUAUAAAA
rnacentral:lncRNA from 1 species